rnacentral:lncRNA from 1 species
ACUGCAGCCUACACCCUUCCCGGCCCUCGGUGCUUGUCUUUUCUUUGGCGUUCCUGCGCCCCCUGACCCGCGGUCCUGCAGUCCUGCUCCCGUGACGUGCCCUCCCUCCUUCCGUUCCCCGUUUCCCCUUCACUACCCAGGGCUGGAGCCUGAACCUGGCGGGGCCCCCCGUGAAUGGAAGAGCCUGGGCCACGCGAAGGUGGACCCCACUCAGCCUCCAGCCGUGCCCUCCACGCCCCAGACACCGCCGUCUUCGGAGGCGACUCCGCGGUCGUGUGGACGGGGUCCCAUUUGGACUCCGGGGUCUGCAGGAUCGGCAGGAAGGACUUUGCUCUCUGCUGCUGGGCGGGGAGGGGUACGCUAUCUGCCGGGACUCCCUAACCCUUUAGAAGGAGCAAGUGCGUCCAAAUGGUUUGAAAGUGGACCUUUAUUGUUUUCCAGGAGUAAGAAGAUAGAACAGUUGACCAGUUUUGUUUGUAAAACUUCUUUCCUUGCCUCGGACUUGUGCUAUAAAGUGACCAGGGCGUAGUGAGUACAGUUAGUACCGCACACGUUAGCACGCUCGACCUUAACGAUCUUUUUAUAGAGACAAUAAACCUGCAGCGUUUCAUGC